UACGUAGGGGCAAGCGUUGUCCGGAAUCAUUGGGCGUAAAGCGCGUGUAGGCGGCCAGAAAAGUCCGCUGUGAAAACUCGAGGCUCAACUUCGAGCUGUCGGUGGAAACUUUCUGGCUAGAGUCCGGAAGAGGAGAAUGGAAUUCCUGGUGUAGCGGUGAAAUGACGCAGAUAUCAGGAAGAACACCCGUGGCGAAGGCGGUUCUCUGGGACGGUACUGACGCUGAGACGCGAAAGCGUGGGGAG
rnacentral:rRNA from 1 species